rnacentral:lncRNA from 1 species
GCCUACCACGCCCCCGAACCCGCCUACCACGCCCCCGAACCCGCCUACCCUGAUGUGCCCCCGAAGUACAACUAUAACUACGGUGUCGCCGACGGCUACUCCGGCGCCAACUUCGGCCACUCGGAGUCCCGCGACGGCUACAAGACCGAGGGCAGCUACACCGUGGACCUCCCCGACGGCCGCAAGCAGAUCGUCAAAUACGUGGACAACGGCGACGGUCUCGUAGCUGAGGUCACCUACGAGGGCGAGGCUCAGUACCCCGAGCACACCCCCGCCUACAAGCCCGCUCCCCCCUCCUACGCACCCCCUCCCCCCACCUAUGCAUAAGUCCUGAAAGGUUUUAGAGAAAAUUAUAUGAGAAAAUAUAUCAGGAACAUAUCACUAACUAAUCAUAUUCAUUUUAUCAUAUAUGAAAUAAAAUCUUAUUUUUUCUAUGAA